rnacentral:piRNA from 1 species
AGGCUAAAGAGGGUCCUCGGCGGCUCCCGCA